rnacentral:pre_miRNA from 1 species
UUUGUACUCCCCCCGUCCCAAAAUUCUUGUGUUAAAUUUGUCUAAAUACGGAUGUAUCUAGUUACAUUUUAGUGUUAGAUACAUCCGUAUCUAAACAAAUGUAAGACAAGAAUUUUGGGACGGAGGGAAUACUAC